rnacentral:rRNA from 1 species
UUGGCUCAGAAGCAGCCACUCAUUUAAAGAGUGCGUAAUAGCUCACUGGUCGAGCGUCUCUGCGCGGAAAAUUUAACGGGGCUAAGAUACAAACCGAAGCUUAGGCUGCACGUAAGUGCGGGGUAGGGGAGCGUUGUGUAAGCGGAGAAACAGUAGCGAAAGCGGCUGUGGAGUUUACAGAAGUGAGAAUGCCGGAAUGAGUAGCGCGAAUGUGGUGAGAAUCCACAUGGCCGGAAACCUCAGGUUUUUGGAGGAAGGUUCGUCCGCUCCAAGUUAGGCGGGAGCUAAGGUAAGGCCGAAAGGCGUAGCCGAUGCACAGACGGUAGAGAUUCCGUCCCCACCGAAAGACUUAAGCACAGGGACACUUUCAGAAGGUCGGAGCCAGGUGUUGGUUCUGGUAGUGAUCGAGGGAAAUAUAGUACCGAAGUCCGGCUGGAAGAGAGGCGAGAAAAGCUGUGUGUAUGUUUAAGGUGCCCGUACCGCAAACCGACACAGGUAGGUAGGAAGAAGAUUCUAAGGCCAACGGGAGAAGGGUUGUUAAGGAACUCGGCAAGUUGACCCCGUAACUUCGGAAUAAGGGGUGCUCACGAGAGUGAGCCGCAGAGAAUAGGCCCAGGCAACUGUUUACCAAAAACACAGGUUUGUGCUAAAUCGAAAGAUGACGUAUACGAGCUGACGCCUGCCCGGUGCUGGAAGGUUAAGAGGAGAUGUGCAAGCAUUGAAUCGAAGCCCCAGUGAACGGCGGCCGUAACUAUAACGGUCCUAAGGUAGCGAAAUUCCUUGUCAGGUAAGUUCUGACCCGCAUGAAAGGCGUAAUGAUUUGGGCACUGUCUCAACAGCCCGCCCGGCGAAAUUGUAGUACCGGUGAAGAUGCCGGUUACCCGCGACAAGACGGAAAGACCCCAUGGAGCUUUACUGUAGCCUGAUAUUGGGUUUCGGUGUUGCAUGCACAGGAUAGAUGGGACGCUGGGAAAGAGUCGCUUUGGCGAUUCUGGAGCGGACGUUGGGAUACCAUCCUUGCGACAUUGGAAUUCUAACCUGCGCCUCUGAAUCGAGGCGGGGGACAUUGUCAGGUGGGCAGUUUGACUGGGGCGGUCGCCUCCUAAAAAGUAGCGGAGGCGUUCAAAGGUUCGCUCAGCUUGGACGGAAACCAAGCUAGAGAGUGCAAACGCAAAAGCGAGCCUGACUGCGAGACUGACGGGUCGAGCAGAGACGAAAGUCGGAGUUAGUGAUCCGGUGGUAUGUGAGUGGAAAUGCCAUCGCUCAACGGAUAAAAGUUACCCUGGGGAUAACAGGCUGAUCUCCCCCAAGAGUCCACAUCGACGGGGAGGUUUGGCACCUCGAUGUCGGCUCAUCGCAUCCUGGGGCUGAAUUCGGUCCCAAGGGUUUGGCUGUUCGCCAAUUAAAGCGGUACGCGAGCUGGGUUCAGAACGUCGUGAGACAGUUCGGUCCCUAUCUGUCGUGGGCGCAGGAUAUUUGAGAGGCGCUGUCCCUAGUACGAGAGGACCGGGAUGGACGAACCUCUGGUGCACCAGUUGUCACGCCAGUGGCACAGCUGGGCAGCUAUGUUCGGAUCGGAUAAACGCUGAAAGCAUCUAAGCGUGAAGCCGGCCUUAAGAUAAGAUAUCCCACUGAGUCAAUCAGGUAAGACCCCUUGA